UACGUAGGGUGCAAGCGUUGUCCGGAAUUAUUGGGCGUAAAGAGCUCGUAGGCGGUUGGUCGCGUCGGCUGUGAAAACCCGGAGCUCAACUCCGGGCCUGCAGUCGAUACGGGCAGACUAGAGUGCGGUAGGGGAGAUUGGAAUUCCUGGUGUAGCGGUGGAAUGCGCAGAUAUCAGGAGGAACACCGAUGGCGAAGGCAGAUCUCUGGGCCGUAACUGACGCUGAGGAGCGAAAGCGUGGGGAGCGAACAGG
rnacentral:rRNA from 1 species